GUGUUGGAAAUUGGCACAGGAACAAUGAUAAUAAAAAGGUUCUUCUUGGACUUGGAGGUGGUUACUAUGGAUAUUAAUUAUUCUGAAGGACGGUGCAUGGGUCGGGCACUUACUAUCUGGGUAUUCAUUGCCGAUGGAUGACCCA